CCCCGUGCAGGUCUCCCAACCAAGCACAACAAGGCCUCUUGCAUUUCAGGGAAGCAUCGUAGUUCUUUCUGAGACCAAAAACCAUCCCAACCAAGUGCUUCCCACCAUCCCAUUAUUGAGCCUGGCACAUUUCCAUCGAUCAGCCUCACGCAAAGAAACUCCAGUGUAGGGGGACAUUUCUCACUGUCUCUAAUCAAAAUCAGCAGAAAGGAGACAGUGAUUUCAUCCCAUUACAAGUGUGAGUUCAAAGGCACCUUUCACUUUGAGUAUCUGCUAGAAGUAGACGUGGCCAACAUUUGUUAGCAGUUAGACUGUGUUGCUUAUCAGAAAAUAAAACAAAAUAGAUUCAUCCUGUUUUCUUCCCUCACCUAAUACAAAUCUAUUGUUUAUUUUGAUUCAAGAAAAGAAACAGUAGAGGAAAGUUCACUUAAAAGUUCACUGACAUUUUUCGCAGAAAUAUUUUCCACUGGAGGUCAACUCCACAUUUCCAGCAGUAAUUUAAUAACCCGAAUCCAUCGUAUUGAAAAUCCCUCUGGACUCCUAACAAACUAGACAGACAUCCAUAGGUCAUUUUAGAAACACUUUGAAGAUAACUCCAGAAUUCACUCUGCACUAUAGAUCCUUGUUGGACAAAUUGUCCCUGAAUCUAUUUAUAUUUGUUUUGUAUUGUUAUGAGAAAGCAUUGGCUUAUCCAGUUAGAAGGGUCUAGCACUGGUCACACAACUGCGCUGAAGUUUGGCAGAGCACAGCAAUACUGCUUGAGAAAAUGAAGGAAUAGAUAGAAAGGCAUCGAGGAAAGAUUUCUUUACUCCCUUUUUUUUUUUUUUUUUUUAGCAGAACUAUACAUUUUAAAAUCACUCAGAAAGCGAAAGAGAUACUAACAAUGGCUUAUCCUGGUCCCAAUGCUUAUCCUCCCUGAAAUGAUGAUCUAUUCAUUUUUUCAGUGUUUUUUGAAUCCUUCAGCGGGCAUACUUUUGUGGUGGAUUUCCUUCUUUUUUAUUAAAAACAAUAUAAAAGAAACUCGGGUUUUCUCAAAAACCUGAUGUACUCAAACCUAAAACAAAGCCCUGCUCAAGGCUGGAUUUGCCAACCUACGGAUUACACUGAGCAGCAGGCAGGCAGAAGCUGGAGUUGAUCUGUGCAUCAAGCAGCCCUGUGCCAUGGAAUGCUUCUUGCUGUGUUGGCCAGGCAGAGCAUCCCAGGUCACUGAGCCACAAAGGACAGCACAAAGUCCAGCUCCAGCCUUGUACUCUGUGACAUGGAAAGAGCAUGAGUGAGGAAAACCCUAAUCUAACCCAUUUUGUUUUUCAAUCAGAGGAUUCAGGCAGGAGUCAAGCACGGGCCAAAAAGGAGAGGAGCAGUUUUCCUCCUCCGUCAUACUGCACCAUUAGUAAGAGUCACAGUUAAUAUUCCUUGUCUGCUCCUGGAGCAGCACACACAUCUCAUAUAUUUUUUCCUAGACCAGAAGAGACCCUAUAAAACAAGCAUUUCCUCUAAAAAACAGCUCCUUGCAUGGCUCCGGAUAAUACGCAGCUGAUGUGAGAUGAUCUGGCUACAGAGCUUGGCUGGAAUAACACUAACAAACCCAGAGUCCAGGCAUCCUCCGGCUGCCCUAGGAAAGCUGUCAGCAGCCAGAGGAAAAUCUGGCAUCUUCAGCUGCUGCCUGACGGGUGUGCGGUGGUCUGUCCAUCCAUCUGCCCAUCUGUCCAUCCAUCCACACAUCCAUCGGUCCCUGCCCGGUGAGGAGAUUCACGCAGGUUGCAUCACGGUGUCUCUGCUCAGCAGGCAAGGACACGUUGGGUUUCUCCAGAGGAAAAACUGGAAGUGUUUAUGUCCCUGGACAGUGUCUGGAAGCACGUGGUGUUUCUGCAGGCUCUGAGGGCCCGGCCUCACAGAAUACUUAGGCACAUGUGUAACUAGAAGUGACGUCCAACAGAGUGCUGCAGACACAGGCGCUUCCAGUUCCAGCAGGAUCCAAGCAGUUUCCAGGAUCCCAACUUUCCAAGAGGUUUAAAUUUGUUAGGUUUUUUGUUUGGUUGGUUGGUUUGUUUUGUUUCGUCCAAGACUCCUUUCUGUCUGCCCGUGCAGCAGCUGGAUUGGACUCCCUGUGGGGCAUGGCAGGUCCUACCCCUCAUGAGGAAAUACAUCCACAAAACAAGGUGAGAGACUUUGCACUGCUGAACACUGCCCAGUUAUUAAUGUGAAAACCAGAAUUAAUUCCAGUCCAAAAAGCUGGGAGGAAAGCAACAACGAUGAUGGGUACCAUCUCAUACCACAGCUAUUUUACAGCAAUUCCACUUUAUGUUCCUUGGCCAGCAGAGCUCCUUGAAUAAUGACAUAGCCAGAUGACACACAAGCAGAAAAGCCUCAAAUGUGUAUAAAUACCAGUUUUCCAGUUCUGAAAGAAAUUUAAUCAUGCAGACUUUCUACCAUAUUUGAGAGAGCCAAAAAGCAGUGAUAGCCCUGAGCUCAUCUUUCUGGUGUUUUCUCCAGCACCAGAGGAAACCAGAACUGUUGUGUUGUGGGGAACCUGACCAUGGAGCACAGCUCCUGAAGACCCAGGGGGAAAACCCCUUAUGAAGACCUGAGGGAAAACCUCUUUAUAAAGGAGAAAUCAAUUACAGUCCUGAUACAAGCAAUAUUGUUUCACCUAACAGUAUCCAGUAUGCACUGCAUUGCAAAUGCUGUCUGGUAAUCAUCUUAUUCGAAGACACAGUGUUUCGCAGCAUAUAAACCAUUUAAUUGCAAUACUGACUCACAUUUGAGCUGCAAAGCUAGGCAUGUUUUCUGAAUGUGCCAAAUAGGCAAAACACCAGCCAGCCUUGGUAUGUAGUUAGAAGAACAUGCUUACACCACACGCUGAAGGAAACAUGAAAGCUGAACUAUUUUUUUUUGCGUGUGCCCUAACAUUUUCUCAUUUAAUGAAUAUUAAAAUGACAGUGUGUGUGAAAAACCCUCAGUGAUUCAUCCAUAGAGUGAAAUUACCAACCACGUGAGAAGAAAUCUGGAAGAGCACCACAGCACGCCUUUGCUCACCUGUAUUUCCUUCUCCUGUUUUAAAAUGCAGACGAUGCCCAAAUAAAUGACAAAUUGAAGCAGACAAGUAUUAAAGUGAAACCAUGGAAGAUCUCCCAUUUCGUUUUGAAUGUCAUCAUAAGAGGAGCUGCAUAGAAACAGUUUGUGAUCUGCACUGACUUAAACUUUGUGCAAGUGGUUUCCAUGCAGAUUAAUGGUCAACACAAAGUUUCUGGGAACCCCACUUCUCACCCACAGCAUUAAUCAUCAUCGGCAAAAUUUUUUAAACUGAACACAUUAAAACUUUCCUUGAUGGAUUUGCAUUUUUGUUCAUGUAGGACAACAUUCACCGUAUUCAUUCAACUAUAUCACAUCUGAUAAACAUACCUUUCCAUCAUACCUUCUGGGCCCUCCUUAAGAAACUACUGAAUCAAUGCCCAGACCUGUGAGUCAUAAAGUACUCCAAGAAAGCUGGUGGGGAAAGGACAGUAGGAAAAGAAUUUACAGCAGCUGAAGCUUGUGGCAGAUCAGUGACUGCAUUACUGUGGUGUGACAUAAACAGAAAAGGUAUUUCCAGUCUUGGAUUUUAUGGCAAAGGAUGGGAGAUUUGACUUAUGAAGGGAGAAUACAAGGGUAAAGCCCCCAGUUACGUACAAUUGCAAGAGCAUAAAUAAUGAGCUGAGGUUAGAAAUGCACAUGGGGAUCCAAACUUCCAAUGAGUUGCUUUAAAAAGUGCAGUUUGCACAUUUGUUGCCAUACAGCCUGGGAUGGCUGGCAGAACAGCAAUGGCUGUCUUCCAGCCCUUCUAGGCAACAAACACAGGGCUUCAGGCAGGUGUGAGCCAGUGGCGGACCUACACCCACUUGCCAGCUGCCUCUGUUUUGAGAGGAUCUGCUCAUAUCAAACAUGAUGUGGUGGUGGUGCUGUUACACAUCUUGGGUUAGCAAAGCCAAUGUGAGGCUUUCCUGCCUCUCCAUCACUCAUUCCUGUCAGAGCAUCUUCAUCUGUUAGCCCAACUGAUGCCUGUUAACCUGGUGCCCCAAAUCCAGACGCACCAGUACAAUCUACAAGUGAAUCCUUGCAAGGCUUCUUAACACAUUGUGACCAGCACCAUAGAAAAGACCUGGCAGGAGCCUUGUGAAGAUAAUAUCCACGCUUCUGGCUGUGAAAAGGUUCACAGAGAAAGACCAAGAUCAAAAUCUCCCCAACUACAUUUCUGCAUAAGGAGGCAGGAGCAUGAGACAGGCCCACAAUAGGGUACGUGGGAUCCCUGCACAAAAACUCAUUGGCCUGAGCCAUUCAGUACUGUGAGGAUCUUCACUGCUGGGAUCUGGUCUGAAGCCUGCCUCUAGGCUUCAGGCUGUCAGAUUCCACUUAAAAAAUGUGUUUGAUUCUCACUUUGUAGAUGUAGCAUCUGUCCCGCUUGUUCUACUGGGAGGAGGGAGGGAGUUGUGUAAUUAAGUGCAAAUAGGGUUCUCAUGAUGCAAUACAGACUCAUAUAAUACUUCCCAGGUGCCACUGUCUCAAGCAACUUGGCAGGAGUUUCCCAGUUGUGAGGCUCGGCUUAAGAAUAGCAGCAAACUUGUGUGGUCCUGCAGAAGCACUCCUUACGUGCGUUGCUCCGAUACUGCACUUGGGAACAGCUGUGCAAGUCCUUGUGUAUGGCCAGGAUGGUGCUCGGAGGGGAAUUUUGGGUUACUUCUUGUGCUUUCCUGUCCCCCUCUUCCCUUACAGCCAGCCUUCACUGAAAAACCAAAUUCUGUAAGUUUAUCAUAGGGUGAUGGUGGUGUCAAGCUGCUGCAAGCAGCUGGUUGGUGUGGUGUUCAAAAAACAGCCUAAGACUUAAAAAAAAACCCCAACAAUACAACAAUAAAAAAGAAAAAAAAACCACCCAACAACAGUAGAAAAAAAACAGUGCAACAACUUUAUAUAAGUAAUCCUUGCAGGAAGCAAAGCGUGGAGAAGUACAGUGAGUUGCAUCCAAAUACAGGAUGGCGAUUUAGGAGAGCUGACUGGUUUGCCAGUUGCAGUCAUGCAAGAAAAUGGGGAGUGAACUGGCACCAGUGCUAUGAGAUGAGGGUUAUGACUUCUGAGCCUUCAGAGACUCUGCAGGCCACGCUGUGAUUUCCAUCCUCCUCAGCACUGCCAUUUCCUCUCUACCAUGACCAUGCUAGUUGGGAUAGCCUUAUUUUCCUAGCAAAUUCUCUGCUGACAGAUUUCAGCUGCUUACCACAAUCUUUGCCUUUUGGCUGGAUCCUGGAAGUGUUUAUACUUUUGGCAAUAGAAGUAGAGAUAGGUGCUAUUUCAUUUAUUUAUUUUAAUAAGUAAAAGUACGAGCCAAUAUCUUUUCUUCAAAAUGAUGGCUCAUCCCAGCCUAUGUUCUCACUGCUGCUGCUCCUGUCUCAGGCAUGGCAGGUGGCACGAUAAAUAGAUAAUACGCUGCACUGUCUGACAUGGAGCUUUAUCAAUCAAAACAAGCCCUGCUUUUUUGCUCAACAGGAAAGUUCAAUCGCUCUCCUCUGGUGGAAUCAGUCAACACAUAAUGCUUUCAGCCCAAGAUAAUGUCAGACUGCAGAUUUGGAUCUGCUCUCUUGCUGCUUCGGGGCUAUUUAUAUCUUUGUGCCUCGAGGGCUUACUAAUUAGCAGCCUUCUUCCACACCCUUUGAUAUCAUUAACGUAAUCUCAGUGUAAGCGACUGCUCUCUGAUGAUAUCUCUGGGGGAGUGGAGAACAGCUGGAACCGUUCUACAUAGCAGAGCUGGAGCACUUCUCCCACAGCAGUGGUUGAAAGACCGCAAUAAUUUUGCUUCUGCAAGCAAAGCCAGCAAAGCACCCUGCCUUGUUCAGAGUGGCUGAGGCUGAUGGGCUAUCACAGAAUCAAUACGGUUGGAAAGGCCAUUAAGAUCAUCUAGAAAGACUAUCAGCCUAUGGUAGAUGUAAUCUCAAGUUGAGCGUAGAACUGGGAGGUACUGAGAAGGUUAGAGUGGGUUUUUCGGGCCAUUGCCAACAUUAUCAGGUAAGUGCCUUUCAACACAAUUCUUCUUCUUCUCUUGCCCUCCCUCACCUGCUUGACUUGUCUUGUUGGUUCUUUUAUAGUCAAAAGGCCCAUAGAGCGUUAGAGGCAAAGUAACAAUGGAACCAGGAGGUGAAAAUCAGGAAUUUGAGACAGCAGCUGAGAGCUCAGUGCUGGAAUUACUCAGCAUUUCCCACACUGUUCAACCCUGUGAGGCCCAGAUUCCCACUUGGGAGAGCUGAGGACAAAUCUAACACUGCUGAAAUCUCAGCUCAGGUAGUUUCUAAUAAUGCAGUGGAUAAGGUUUAUUUAAACCGUAAUUGCUUGCAUUUUUUUUUCCACAUUACUCGCUCUGCUGCCCUAUAAAAUUAGUUAAUUUAAAGGCCUGUCAUUAACUUAGCAACUUGCCCUGCAAAGAACAAAACUGGAGAUGGGAAAAAGUUUUCUCCGUGUUAGAAAUGCACUUCAGACCAGAGCAACAUUGCUGCCUUCCGAUAGCAGCUCCUCCUCACUAAAUGAGACCUUGUAGGAAAACAGGCGGUUUCCAAUAGGUGCUUUGAUAUCUGCCAUUAAUUCCCUGCUCUUGCUUGCAUGGUCUCUUAGCAACUUCCUGCCCUUUGCUCCUUUUUAUUCUUGUUCCUGUUCAAGCACUUCCUUUUGUCGCCAGUCUGUUGCUCCCCUUUAGGCUGCUUUAGAGAAAGAUAAUAAAAUCCUUGUGCAGAUAGAAAGAACCAGCUACAAAUGGCUGUGCGAGUGUAUUUAUGUUUAUAGCACGAAGCAAGAGAACAGGCUGUCCUGGGUUCUGGUUUCCAACUGCAGCGUAAAUCCGUCAGCAAAUAUGUUACAACCCUGGAGAAGGGAGCAGAAACAUAACAGCAGGCACUGCAGGACUCCAGAAGAGUCGUGUUUUACAGGGCUCCAUAUCUCUUAACUCCCCAGAAGUGUGAAAGAUGGAGGCUUUCACCCCAAAUUAAAAGAGCAGCCAUCUUCUGCUCUCUCAUCCUAAAGCAGCUGUUAAUUCAGUAAUGUCAGCCCUCCCAGUCACUCAGGUAGAAGCAUCCAUUUGGUGACUUCCCUUCGCCAGGCUUCAUGCCCGUCCUGUUUAAUGCUCCACGACUCUGUUCCAGGAUGACAAUAAGAUGGGGAGAACUGGCACAGGUGGCUUUGAAGGCUGAGGGAAAAGACGUGGCAAUGCUUUUUAAUUUUUUAUUUCCUUUAAAUGCUUUGUAUGCAGAGCCACGCUAAGUACAAACCCGAUGACAAGCUAAGAGCAUCUUAGAGAGUCUGCCUCAGGAGUACACCCCUGUUCUGGUGGAAGGAGAUGACAGCAACAUGUGCAUAAAAGGCUGGCUGAACUGGAGUCUUAAUGCGAGGUCUCCACAUCUUAAUAGACUUUGAGAUAAAUGGCCUUUUCUUGUCUCCCAUAUGGUUUUGCUUUCCAUCUAACGAGGGAAUCAUAACUCUGGGUGAAGGAAAGGAGCUGUCCGGAGAUGGAGCUGCGAGUGGAGGGAAGAGGAGGUGAAAGAAAAGGAAAAUUUUAAGGGGAAGAGAGACCACGUCUGGAGAAGUCAUUGUGCAGAUGGGGAGUAACAAGAUGAGAAUGAUGCAGGAACUACCCAGCAGCCGAACAGAGGUGAGCCAGCAGUUCGGGUGCAGGGCGGUGACUCUGGCUGUGUCCCUGUAGUGCUUCACUCAGAAGGGUUUGCACCAAACACCCUCACACUGAGGGGCAGAGAACAGUGGCUUUCCAGUCCCUCUUCUUACCCUACACUUUUCUAUUUUCUCUACUUCCCCCUAAACUUCUGGUUUAGGCAAGAAUUUAAAUACUGGCUUUCUUAGAACUAAAUAUGUAAAUCCUGAAGUGCUGCUCAGUGUGCUUCAGGCCAAGUGCUUGCUUAAGCACUUGGCUGGUUUGGGCUCUCAGAAGAACAGCUGAGAGGAUCUUAUUGUCACCAACAGCAUUACAGGUUUUUCUGAGGAUGUCACUGGGACCAUGAUCUUGCUGAUGCUCUCGAGAAGAGGUAGAAGCAAAGCAUGAGUGGACUAUGCUCCAAGGCUGUGCUUACACCACUAACACUGUGCGCACACAGUGAGUUGGGAGCUCCAAACACUGUCUUUCACCCCAGCAAUAUUUUAUGCUUUAACAUAUUAUUUGUCGACAUUAAAAAGAUAUAAAACAUAUUAAAAGCCAAAGCUAAUGCACUCAUUGAGAGGGCAGAUCCAUGCUUCAAGAAGUCUUCAGUUUUAUAAACCAAUUUAGCCUGGGUCUAUUAAGAGCUUUUCCUGGUGACAGAGUGAGAGCAUUUUCUCUGCUAUAAUCAUAUCAGCCUGUAUUCUGGGUUAAUGGAGAUGAAUAUUACUGCCAGAUUUUGUUCUUUCCCUGCAUGUAAUCUAAUGCCAGAUGGUUCUGACGGGGUAUUAAAUCUCCCAUGUGCAUGACCUCCCUGAGGUUUUUAUCAUUAGAACCUUAAAAUAAUUCAAGGAAAGCUUUCCCAAAGCCUGAUCAUAAACCUCCUAAUGAGGCACUGAAGUCACAAAGAAAAUCCUCUUGUUAAUUCCUGUUUGGUGUUUUUCCCCCUUUAUGACAAAUAAGCAGGAAUUCACAGCAACAGAGAUGCUUUUAAACAGUUUCAGCGGAAAACACAUAAAAAUGAGCAUUCAGGUUAACAGUUCAGGUUCUCAGCAGGGUCUGGAGCUGCAGGAACGUAACAGCCAUCUCCAGCCUCCAACACAUUGCCCAGCAAUGCCACCAUCCCUCACUGUGAGUACAGCUUACUCUGCCAGCGAGUGGCUGCUUUAUUCCUAGUGCAACGUAACACCUGGUGUUAGAAUGAAUAUCACCCUAUGUCAGAUGAGUGGCUGAACUCAGACCUCAUCUGUGCAAUAGUACAAGGAUGUACAUGAGCACCACCUUUACCCUAACUUCAGUUCAGCAACAGCAGUUAAGUUCGUAAGAACUUCCUUAGAGUUUUCCUGAGAAUUUUCUGCUCCUCAUCUGCAUGGAGCAGAUGGCACAUUUUUAAUAACUUUAUGUUUGCUUUUCUAUUUCAUGUUUACUGCAUGACACCAUGCCUUAUUUCCGAGAUCAAGUAACAGCAAGACAGGACUGUUCAGAGCCUCUUGGGCUUUCUGUAUUUCUCAUUAACAGGUCAUCCAAAAACCAACAUAAGUAUUCCUGCAGUCAAAUCACAUGUUGUGAGAAUAGGGAGAGAUGAAAUAUAAUCAGAUUAAAAUAAAAAAAAGUUUUUCCAGUUUUGGGGUAUCCAAACUGGCCAGAAAUCCUGUUUCUCAGAGACAUGUAUGUCAUGCUUGUAAAACCUAAAUCUCAUGAAUACCUACUGCAACUGGGAACACUCACUGCCUUUGAAAAGCAACCUUUUUUUUUUUUUCCUUCAAAAAUACAAGUUUUUUUUUCAAAAAUACAAAAAUACAAAAAAGUAGGCUUCAGGUAGCUGAAGAAACUAAAUCCAGUUCAUCAGGAUGCCACUCAGGCACACGGGACCACCUUGCCUUGCCCUGAAGCCCCAGACUCACCUCCCAGUGCUUAGGAAGUAUUUGGUCACUACUUGGUCAGUACUUCACUUUCAAGGUCAAGCUGGAUGGGGCUCCAAGCAUCUGGUAGAACAUUGCAGGUGAGUUGGAUUAGAUGAGCUUUAAGGGUCCCUUCUAACUCAAACAAUUCUAUGACUCUAUCACUAAGGAUCAACUCACUGUGCAGUAUAUAGUUCCCUACACCAGAGAUGUUCUUGCAUACUUAUUAUCACCCCCUCUAUCCACAUAGUGCAUGUGUGCUGACAUCUGACGUGUCUGCUGGCAGAAACAGGAGACCUCUGGGAAGGUUAGAGCUGAACCAUGGGUGCUGAGCUCUGUACAGGUAUUGGAGAAAGCACCACCUUGGUAGACAGAAGCUCAGUUCAUUAAACAUCUCAAUGGGAGUCUAUCCCAAAUACCUCAACUUGACCCUUACCCAACCAUGUCUUCUCCACCCUAAUUCUGUCCCUACUUCAUAUUCAUUGACAUCCACGUGGUCCUGCAGCCAUUUUUCCCACUUCCUUCCCUCUCACAGGUUCCUUAUCAACCUCAUUAGCAGCGCAUUAGAUCCCGGCACCACCACUGAGCCCUAUGAGAACUUUGAGCUCAUUUUGUACGGCUCCACCAGUCCUCAUUCUCUCUCUACCUUGCUCACACAUCUCCACUGAGGGCAACGUGAUAGCAGCCUGCCCCAUCCAAAGCAUCAUCUCACCUGGAGGGGGAACAUCUUGAUUUGUAGGGAUGACUCCUGGCAAAGGAGUUAGGGCCAAAACCUUCUCUGAGGUUGGAAAAGGUCAGAGCGGGCAGGGCCAGCAGCAGAAUGGCAUCACUGCUCUGGGUCUCUCUGUACUCCAGUGGCAGCAGCAGAGAAAGGGCAAAACCGGGUAUGGAAGAAACGGAUGACAAGGCACAGAGCUUCUCACCCUGCAGCCUGUGACAUCCUCCCCCGCGUGCAGUCUUUUCCAGCCAUGUGUGAGUUAUUUGCUAUCCCGUGCCAAAAAUAAAUAAAUAAACAAACAAACAAACAAAUAAAUAAAUAGAGUCAACGUCUUCUGUCUGCUGCCCUUCAAAUGAAGCGAGGAGCAGCGCUGCCACCAGCCCUGGCUGGGAGGGACCUGGUGGGCUGAGAGGACUGGGGCUCAGGCAGUGCCACGGGCUGCGUGUCCCAAAGGACCGCGGGUAUUUCUGGCACACAGUGGGGCCAGCAGCACUUGGACAAGGAGCGAUUUUACUAAAAAAGGAACUUGGAGGGCACUGCAGUCCCGCUCUGCCUACAUCAGGAGGGACAUGGAGGCAGAUGCUUGGCUGCAUCGCCCUGCACUGCACAGAGCCCGGCACUCAGCAGCAAACUUCUACAUGGAAACUAUUAGCAAAUAAUAACACUUUAUAGCUGUGCAUUUCCACAUUGCUGCUUUCAUUUUCUUUCUUUUUUUUCCUUUUUUUCUUUCUUUUUUCUUUUUUUUCCUCCUUAAUACUUGGGUUUAUUUUGUGUCACUGCGUGCUUGCAAGGACAGAGAGACUUUUAAAUUACAGUAAUCUGAAUUCUAUAAAUAACAAAGCGACAAAGGUCUGUGAUGAAACACGGAGUGCACCGUAUCCACAAAAAUAAGUACCUGUGUUCCUACAGAGAUCGUUGAGGUAACAGUCACAUAACUGAGUACCUGGUUGUGUCCACUUAAAUCAGCUCCCGGAGCAGAACCAUCUACCUUAGGAAAAGAGGCAGCAGUAGAGCCCCUACCAGUAGGAGAAAUUAAUGCAUUACACUUCGACAGAGAUUAAUUAUUAUGAGUCAGUCUAAAAAUACGUUUGUCCCCUGUGGGAGUACGCGCUCUUCUAUUCAUCAAGUCGCUUUCAAAUAAUCAUUAAACAUCUUAAGGCAGAAGACAGUUUUGCUCGUGCAAAAGAAACACUGCUAAAAGUUACACGACAAAGACCAUCUUUUUCAAUUUUCAAUUUUAAAUCAUAAAAGCAUCUGCAGCAUUCUGACCCAGAGUAGUUCCCCACAAGUGAGACAGACAAAAUGUCUGCUGGGAAAAAUGUGCAGAGGACUCUGAUAACUGCAGCAUAUUUUUUUUCAGUUGCCAAUCAGGGUUGAUGUUUCCAAAUAACUUUUAUUGAAUUAAAUUUAUAUAAGGUCUUCCAGUCUCAGCUGUAGCCUCGGUGGCAUCUCAAAUGGAGAUGGAUCAGAUUUAAAGGCCAAAAGUCACUUUUGUGGUGUUUUGGGGAAAAGUGCAUGAGUAGAAUGAUGGAUUUUUUUUUUUGGUUUGGUGGGACAAGGUCUUGCAGGUAUAAACUGAUAUAUUAACAGAGGUGCUUGGCACCCCUGAACCACUGGUUUCUGGCACUUGAUUUUCCAGGUGUGUCUGGGCGGUCCCUGCAGACUCAUCCUGGUGGCAAUGCUCUGGUAGAAGAUACCUUUAUUUGGAAGAGUGAGAGAUGGGCCUCUUAGCUGCAGCGUUUCCAGCAGUCCUCCUUUUCUUCAGCAGCACAAUCAUAAUUUAAGGCUUAGCACUCAUCCAACCCAAGCAGCGCUGAGAGGCGGUGCUUCCACUGAUGCUUUUUCCAUUACAAAAUAGCGUUCUACCCAAACAUACUUUGUUUGACACCAAUAAAUCAGGGCAGCUCUUUUAAUCAGAUCUGAGACUGAACGAGGCUGAAGUUUUUUUUUUUUUUUUUAAGGUUUUUUUUUUUUAAAGCUUAUAAAAUUUGGUGACUUUUCAAAGAAAACUCUUUCUGUUGUUGUUGAAGUGGCACAGCCCAGCACUCCCUGUUCCUGGCAGCAGCUCAGAAGGGCUCUGAGAAAUGCAUCUCUUAUGGCAGCUCUGACUCAAACAAAAUCAAGAAACCUUGGAAAUCUCAUGGGAGAUGGAUUUUUGUCGGUUUUCCAAUCUAAACAGGUGGAGAUAAGCUAAGAUAAGUGUCUGAGAUAGAUCUGCAACAUAUGGAAGGUUCAUCUCCAACAGAAAUGUCUCAAUUUUUGUGGUCUUCUCCUUCUUUUGAGAUAUGCCUACAGACACUUGAUUAACGGUGGAGAGAGUUACGUAAAUUAAUGAAUGGGUAAAAUAGAUAUAGUAGACAGGAGCUUUCAUUCUCAGCUUCAGUGAAUGCUUUCCAAAGAAGAUUAUUUUAAUUGGCCAGCCAGUGCUUCAGGAUGGGUUUGAAAUGGCAGGGAGAAGAUCUUCAAAAGCUCAGCACUUCUGAUGCUUUUCCCAGGGAACAAGGACAAAAGGGAACAACACACUUGUUCUGUUAGUUAGGUAUUUUAAAUGUGCUGCCUCAGAUCAGAUCUCAAGUUCUUCCACCGUGCUCACUGUGCGAAAAAGAGAAACAGACAGCUUUAUUUGCAGAACAGCUUUCACAAGUUGUACCACAGUUUAUUUUAUGAUUUCAAUAUCUUCUGUAUUUCUUUUACUUCAUUUCUUCAUUACUAACUCAACAAUACCGAGUGUUGCUAAGUAACACCCUGUAGACAUCUAUAAUUUUCCUACAUGACUGCGCUAUAACCGAACAUUAAUACUUUGCAAGGCAGUAACUACCAGCAAUAGCCAAUGUCUUACUUCAAGGGGAACCAUGGUACAUUCUCAUUACAGCAGUAUACGCCUCCAAAUAGCACCCAUCACCAGGGUAAUUCACCGUUCACCUCCUGGAGCUUGAUGUCCUAGAAGGUUCAACAUCAGAGGAAUGCGCUCAUCUGAAGAAGGGGCUGAAAAAGACAGAAACCAAGACAUAUUUUAGCUUACCUCCAGUCUGGAAUGAUUUGCUGUUGUUAACC
rnacentral:lncRNA from 1 species